GUUUUUGCAAGUAUGCAUCUAGUAGCCGUUUGAACAUCUGUAUGGACUCUGAUAAAACCACUUCUUCAGGCAGAGAAUUCCACAUCCUGAUUGUUCUUACAGUAAAAAAACUUUCCUUUGCCUUAGACGAAAUCUUCUUUCUUCCAGUCUAAACGCAUGGCCUCGUGUCCUAUGAAAAGUCCGGUUUGUGAAUAGAUUUCCACACAAUGGUUUGUAUUGGC
rnacentral:lncRNA from 1 species